rnacentral:rRNA from 1 species
AUGAUGCUGGAGUUUGUCAUCCGCAAGUCCAUGUCUGACAACUUUCUUACCUUGUGUAAUCAGCCGUCUGCUCCACCCCUACCCAGCAAAAUCCGCCGGCUGACUCUGCAUCAUGCAACGCCCAGAGAAGUGAAUGAUCUAUCUCUUGUCCGGUCAUUGACUGUCUCCGGCGAGACGCACCCAUCAAUCCUAGACUUUUCCAAGUAUGAACUGAUGCGAGUUUUGGAUCUGGAAGAGUAUGAUCAUCAGUUGUUGGAUAGCCAUCUCAAGUUGGUAUGCAGCAACCUGUUGCUGCUGAGGUACCUAAGCCUCGGAGCCGCUGUUACGGCGCUGCCAAGAAAUAUCAAGAAGCUUCAGUUCUUGGAGACACUGGAUGUAAGAAGGACGAAUAUAGAGAUUCUGCCAACACAAGUCAUGGAGUUGCCAUUUUUACUUCAUCUGUUCGGGAAGUUCAAGCUGAAACAAGAUGUAGGAGCACACAGAAUGAGUAAGCUACAGGCGUGGUUGUCAGCCAACAGCAAAUUGGAAACAGUAGCAGGAUUUGUUGUGGACAGCAACAAGAGCCAAGGAUUUGCACAACUCAUGGAUCAUAUGAAGCAUUUGAUAAAGGUGAAAAUAUGGUAUGAUUCUUGCGCCGAUGCCAGCAGCACAAGUACUCUCUCGAAGGCCAUCAAGGGGUUCAUCGAGCGAAGCACCAAUUUCAUGACUUCACAUGCACUCUCACUCAAUCUCAGUGGUGAACGUUCUCAAGACUUGCUGAAUUUCUCCCUUGGAACUGGCAAAUCCUACUAUCUUUGCUCACUCAAGCUACAAGGGGGCAACAUAUUCAGCCUCCCCCCCUUUGUUACCAUGCUGGCUGGUCUCAAUAAGUUGUGCCUUUCAGUCACUCAUCAGCUGAGUCGUGACAUUAUUGCUGCCCUGAGUGAAAUGCGCAGCCUGAAGCAGCUGAAGCUGACUGCAACUCAAUUGGACAAGCACAUCAUUGGACAAGGUGCAUUCAGAAUCCUGGAAGACCUAUGGAUCACGGUGGAAGUGAUGACUGCGCUGGACAUCGAAGACGGAGCUCUGCCGUGCCUCAAAUCGCUCCGUCUGCUAUGUAAAAAUCUAGAUGGCUUUUCCGGCACAUCGGCGAUCAAAUACUUUAAGCGCCUCAAGGAGAUUGCUCUUCAUCGUGAAGUGGGUGGUGACACAAAACAGAAGUGGAAAGAAGCAGCAAGGAAACACCCAAGAUGUCCCAAGAUCUUGCAGUACAGGCUGCGACUUGCUAAUGGCAAAGCAUUCUCGUAUGCUGCUUAUUGGUUGAUGGCCAUUCAUCAACAUGAUCAAUUGAGUUGUGAAGCUUACCUGGUGAAGACCCCUUGA